CAAUGGGAAGGUGGCUAGUAUAAGCACUGUGGUAUGUCCUAAUCCACCUAACUAACCCUGUCUGGCACCUUGAAACGUCUGGCUUUUCCUAAUGUCAAAAUGGCGUUGGAAGGUAAACACUGAAUUGAUAGAGGACAUAGAGACAGCCACGGUAGCAGAACUAGAGACACUCAGCAAAGAGGACUUCCAGAGCUGUCUCAUAAAUAGCAAGACUGACGGGAUAAAUGUCUUCAGAGUGUGGUCAAAUGCAUGAUUUCUGAAAGUUCUCAAGAAAUGGGCUUGCCUCAGAAGACCCCAAGGAGAGGACAGUCAGAGAGGAGUGUCUGUCUUCAAAGAACUGCUGGAAAAUGCCAGGUCACUGCUCUGACACUGCAAAGAAGUGAUCUCUGUCUCCAGUUUGGCCUAAUGGCCUGUUAGACCAGAAGAUCAACCCCCAUCUUUGAUUGCAGUUGUGCUGCUGCUUUCUGAUUUGGUCUGGAUUGUGGAACAUCACCAUUUCCAAGCUUCCUAAGCAUCAAAACAAAGUCUUCUGAGGUGAAAAAAACAACCAUGGUCAGAAUGUUGUGACAUUGUGGACUUUGGUGGAAAGUGAAAUAACUCUCAUCUGUCCUGGAAACGACAAAGACAACCAGAACAGACAAAGCUCCAGCAAAGACUGCCAUCAUUUCCUCUCUUACUCCAUCUCUAAGAACUCUGGUUCUGCAAAUUGGCUGUGCCUUAUGUGAACUUCUCAAGUGCAGUUCUGAGUACAGGAGGCAAAUGCCUCCACGCUGGUGCAUUAAUUCAUAUUGCAUCUGCCUCAGUGCUCACCACUGAAUCCCUAAGUGUCUAGAACAAUGACUAAUAUAUAAUGGGCACUCCCAAUGUUUAUUAAAUGAAUGAAUGAUGAAUUCCUUACUGUAAUUCUGUGGCAUAUACUGAAAUUAUCCAGGUUAGUGUGCCAAGUGAUGGGUUUUUCCUUGAACAUUUAUGUUUACAUGCUAAGCAGUGAUACCAUAAUUGUAGCAAUUUCGUGUGCAAUUGUCAUAGGGCGAUAAAGGGUGAAACUUGAUAUUGAGAGCACAUUUCAAAAUUGGAUAACUUUCUGUAUCACAAUUUCCCUAAGCAGAGAACUCAAAGAUACUCACCAAAGCCUGAUUCCUCCAAGAUAGAGCUGGAGAGAACGUGGCUCAGCUCUAUGGAGUAUCAAAACCAGUUUCUGUUGAGCAUGAACUCACCAAAAUUUAGCAGAAUCUGGAAGUUUGGGACCCCAUUAAGUGUCUGCCAAAUAAGUGAAAGAAUAAAUGGAUAUUCCAAAGGG